rnacentral:miRNA from 1 species
GUGACAAGCUUGGGCUCUG